CCUACGGGUGGCAGCAGUGAGGAAUAUUGGUCAAUGGGCGGGAGCCUGAACCAGCCAAGCCGCGUGAGGGAAGAAGGUACAGCGUAUCGUAAACCUCUUUUGUCAGGGAACAAAGGCGGGGACUAGUCCCCGGAUGAGGGUACCUGAAGAAAAAGCAUCGGCUAACUCCGUGCCAGCAGCCGCGGUAAUACGGAGGAUGCGAGCGUUAUCCGGAUUUAUUGGGUUUAAAGGGUGCGCGGGCGGUCUGUUAAGUCAGCGGUGAAAGCCCGGGGCUCAACCCCGGCCCGCCGUUGAAACUGGCAGUCUCGAGUUGGAGAGAAGUAUGCGGAAUGCGCGGUGUAGCGGUGAAAUGCAUAGAUAUCGCGCAGAACUCCGAUUGCGAAGGCAGCAUGCCGGCUCCACACUGACGCUGAGGCACGAAAGCGUGGGUAUCGAACAGGAUUAGAUACCCGAGUAGUC
rnacentral:rRNA from 1 species